rnacentral:tRNA from 1 species
UGGAGUAUAGCCAAGUAGUAAGCCACGGUUUUUCAUACUGGCAUGCAAAGGUUCGAAUCCUUUUACUCCAU